rnacentral:rRNA from 1 species
AUUGAACGCUGGCGGCAUGCCUUACACAUGCAAGUCGAACGGCAGCACGGGAGCAAUCCUGGUGGCGAGUGGCGAACGGGUGAGAAAUAUAUCGGAACGUGCCCAGUAGGGGGGGAUAACUGCUCGAAAGAGCAGCUAAUACCGCAUACGACCUGAGGGUGAAAGGGGGGGAUCGCAAGACCUCUCGCUAUUGGAGCGGCCGAUAUCAGAUUAGCUAGUUGGUGGGGUAAAGGCCUACCAAGGCAACGAUCUGUAGUUGGUCUGAGAGGACGACCAGCCACACUGGGACUGAGACACGGCCCAGACUCCUACGGGAGGCAGCAGUGGGGAAUUUUGGACAAUGGGCGCAAGCCUGAUCCAGCAAUGCCGCGUGCAGGAAGAAGGCCUUCGGGUUGUAAACUGCUUUUGUCAGGGAAGAAAUCCUCUAGGUUAAUACCCUUGGGGGGAUGACGGUACCUGAAGAAUAAGCACCGGCUAACUACGUGCCAGCCGCCGCCGUAAAAC